rnacentral:sRNA from 18 species
GUCAACUACCCACUCCCGAAGGAGGUGGGCUUGAGAUGGUGGCAUCGACGCAAGGGUUGACUAGCCUAAGCCCGUUCAGGGCUACGUCUGCUGAGCUACAAGAACGGUUGGAUGCCUCCCUAGUCCAACCCUCUUCG